GGCCAGACUCCUACGGGAGGCAGCAGUGGGGGAUAUUGCACAAUGGGGGAAACCCUGAUGCAGCGACGCCGCGUGGGUGAAGAAGCGCCUCGGCGCGUAAAGCCCUGUCAGCAGGGAAGAAAUUGACGGUACCUGAGUAAGAAGCUCCGGCUAAAUACGUGCCAGCAGCCGCGGUAAUACGUAUGGAGCAAGCGUUAUCCGGAUUUACUGGGUGUAAAGGGAGCGUAGGCGGCCUGCCAAGUCUGAUGUGAAAUACCGGGGCUCAACCCCGGGGCUGCAUUGGAAACUGGCAGGCUGGAGUGUCGGAGAGGCAGGCGGAAUUCCUAGUGUAGCGGUGAAAUGCGUAGAUAUUAGGAGGAACACCAGUGGCGAAGGCGGCCUGCUGGACGAUGACUGACGCUGAGGCUCGAAAGCGUGGGGAGCAAACAGGAUUAGAUACCCCGGUAAAA
rnacentral:rRNA from 1 species